GGCCACGUGGCCUGAUGGAUAAGGCCUCUGACUUCGGAUCAGAAUACUGAGGGUUCCAAUCUCUUUGUGGUUC
rnacentral:tRNA from 1 species